UGCCCCGAGAUGAGUUCUCCCUGAGACUUAGAGUCUCCUGAAGGAACGUUGAAGACGACGACGUUGAUAGGCCGGGUGUGUAAGCGCAGCGAUGCGUUGAGCUAACCGGUACUAAUGAACCGUGAGGCUUAACCUUACAACGCCGAAGCUGUU
rnacentral:rRNA from 1 species